GGGGCGCCUGGGUGGCGCAGUCGGUUAAGCAUCCUGACUUUGGCUCAGGUCAUGAUCUCACAGUUGGUGAUUUCGAAUCCCACAUCAAGCUCACUGUUGUCAGUGGAGAGGCCGCUUUUGAUCCUCUGUUUCCCUUUCUCUCUGUCCCUGUCCUAUUCGUGCUUUCUCUCUCAAAAAUAAAUAAACAUAAAAAAAUUCAUUUAUCAGUUACUAUUCCCAAGGUCCGUUUACAUUUUUUAAAGGGAACCUGGGGAGAACAAUGCUUAUCCCAAAAUGUAUCCUUUCCAAAUUCCUUCAGACUCCUGGCCCACACCUUCAUUGUCUGGAUACUGGGUGGUCCUUUUCUCAGAUAAGUGUUAACAGAUACCCUAUUGGGAACCCCUUUACAGGUGUGUUCUCCUUCCCUUCCUUUCCUUCAAUUGUUCAUUCAUUUUAUAAGCAUCUACUUAUAUGAUCUACUAUGUACAAGGCAAUUUUCUAGAUGCUCAUGACACAGAGAUAAAAGACACAUCUUUGCCCUUCAGAUGCCUUGUCUAUGGUGGAAGAUAGACAAGUAACAAAAUUAUUAGAAUUUUGGGAUAAGUGUUAGCAUAAAGUGUGCAUUUAAUGCAUGGGAGGGGAAGAGAAAUGAUCCUUUUGUUUUUAAACAUUAAGUAGGAAUUAGAGAAGGGAUUAAUGGGUAUACCAAGACAAUGGGGAUAGGUUUUGGGUUUUUUUUUUUUUUCCUUCAGAUUUCCAGGAUUUUAGGUCCCUAGGUCUAAGGCCAGCCAGGGAAGAAAGAAACACAAAAACAGGAAUUUUCUAAAAAUGAAAAAAAAAAAAAAAAAACACUAAGGAAAAGAGGCCCACAAGUCAAUCUAUUGAGGAAAAUAAGGAAACUCCUUUGGGAGUAGUUCCCGCCACUGACUUAUCUGGGGAUGAAGGUCCUGGCUUCCAGCAGUUGAGGGUAUGUGGCCUCCAACAGAUCCUAGCUGCCUGGCAUUGUCCCUUGUGAAGGCUCUUCUCUCUAUUCCUGGCUGAUGUGUUUCUCCACAUAAGACAGCUGCCUCCAAGGCCAUAUUCCUUACCCCAAGGAGAUCUUAGGUUGAGUCCUAACACUCCUAGAGCUUUGUCUUUUUUGGAACCUCUGCCAACAAGUCAUUCAUAUUAGGGGAAGCUUUUUGCUUUUGGGAGCCCUGUCCUGCCCCCCACUGGCUCUGCCCCUGC